rnacentral:rRNA from 1 species
CUGGGUAGACCACUAUCCAACCCUAAAUACUACUACCAGAUCGAUAGCGAACAAGUACCGUGAGGGAAAGGUGAAAAGAACGGCGGUGAGCCGAGUGAAAUAGAACCUGAAACCAUUUGCUUACAAUCAUUCAGAGCACUAUGUAGCAAUACAGUGUGAUGGACUGCCUUUUGCAUAAUGAGCCUGCGAGUUGUGGUGUCUGGCAAGGUUAAGCUAACGCGAAGCCGUAGCGAAAGCGAGUCUGAAUAGGGCGCUAAGUCAGAUGCUGCAGACCCGAAACGAAGUGAUCUAUCCAUGAGCAGGUUGAAGCUAGUGUAAGAACUAGUGGAGGACCGAACCCGCUAGCGUUGAAAAGCUAUGGGAUGACUUGUGGAUAGGGGUGAAAGGCCAAUCAAACUUCGUGAUAGCUGGUUCUCUCCGAAAUAUAUUUAGGUAUAGCGUUGUGUCGUAACUAAAGGGGGUAGAGCACUGAAUGGGCUAGGGCAUACACCAAUGUACCAAACCCUAUCAAACUCCGAAUACCUUUAGUGUAAUCACAGCAGUCAGGCGGCGAGUGAUAAAAUCCGUCGUCAAGAGGGAAACAACCCAGACUAACAGCUAAGGUCCCCAAAUCUUACUUAAGUGGAAAACGAUGUGAAGUUACUUAAACAACCAGGAGGUUGGCUUAGAAGCAGCCAUCCUUUAAAGAAAGCGUAAUAGCUCACUGGUCUAGUGAUUUUGCGCGGAAAAUAUAACGGGGCUAAAGUAAGUACCGAAGCUUUAGACUUGCACACAACUUAGAUUAUUUAAGUUUAGAAUAUGAGAAGCUAAAUUUAUUUUUAUUUAUUUUUGCUUAUCUUUAUUCAUUAUUUAUAGAGUAAAAAUAAAAACAAAAACUUCGUAAAAAUAAUAAAAUAUAGUAAAAAACAAUAAAAAUAUUCUUAGAUUAAAAGUUAAGUCGUUUAAGUUGUGUGCAAGUGGUAGGAGAGCGUUCUAUUUGCGUCGAAGGUAUACCGGUAAGGAGUGCUGGAGCGAAUAGAAGUGAGCAUGCAGGCAUGAGUAGCGAUAAUUAAUGUGAGAAUCAUUAACGCCGUAAACCCAAGGUUUCCUACGCGAUGCUCGUCAUCGUAGGGUUAGUCGGGUCCUAAGCUGAGUCCGAAAGGGGUAAGCGAUGGCAAAUAGGUUAAUAUUCCUAUACCAACAUUAGUGUGCGAUGGAAGGACGCUUAGGGCUAAGGGGGCUAGCGGAUGGAAGUGCUAGUCUAAGGUCGUAGGAGGUUAUAUAGGCAAAUCCGUAUAACAAUACUCCGAGAACUGAAAGGCUUUUUGAAGUCUUCGGAUGGAUAGAAGAACCCCUGAUGCCGUCGAGCCAAGAAAAGUUUCUAAGUUUAGCUAAUGUUGCCCGUACCGUAAACCGACACAGGUGGGUGGGAUGAGUAUUCUAAGGCGCGUGGAAGAACUCUCUUUAAGGAACUCUGCAAAAUAGCACCGUAUCUUCGGUAUAAGGUGUACCUCCCUUUGUAUUAGAAUUUACUUCGAAAGCAAAGAAG